AGAGUUUGAUCCUGGCUCAGAACGAACGCUGGCGGCGUGCUUAACACAUGCAAGUCGAACGCGAAAGAGGUCUUCGGACCUCUCUAGAGUGGCGCACGGGUGAGUAACGCGUAGAUAAUCUACCCCCAUAUUUGGGAUAACAGCUCGAAAGGGCUGCUAAUACCGGAUACACUUAUUUGGACGCGAGUUUGAAUGAGGAAAGGUGACCUCUCCAUGGAAGUUACUGUAUAGGGAUGAGUCUGCGUACCAUUAGCUAGUAGGUAGGGUAAAGGCCUACCUAGGCGACGAUGGUUAGCGGGUCUGAGAGGAUGAUCCGCCACACUGGAACUGGAACACGGACCAGACUCCUACGGGAGGCAGCAGUGAGGAAUAUUGCGCAAUGGGGGAAACCCUGACGCAGCGACGCCGCGUGGGUGAUGAAGGCCUUCGGGUUGUAAAGCCCUGUCAGGUGGGAAGAAGUGUGUCAUGGCUAAUAUCCAUGACAUUUGACGGUACCACCAAAGGAAGCACCGGCUAACUCCGUGCCAGCAGCCGCGGUAAUACGGAGGGUGCAAGCGUUGUUCGGAUUUACUGGGCGUAAAGGGCGCGUAGGCGGUCUUAUAAGUCAUAUGUGAAAGCCCACGGCUCAACCGUGGAAGUGCAUGUGAAACUGUGAGACUUGAGUAUGGGAGAGGAAAGUGGAAUUCCCGGUGUAGAGGUGAAAUUCGUAGAUAUCGGGAGGAAUACCGGUGGCGAAGGCGACUUUCUGGACCAAUACUGACGCUGAGGCGCGAAAGCGUGGGUAGCAAACAGGAUUAGAUACCCUGGUAGUCC
rnacentral:rRNA from 1 species